rnacentral:rRNA from 1 species
UACGAAUGGAGCGAGCGUUGUUCGGAAUCACUGGGCGUAAAGGGUGCGCAGGCGGUCAUGAAAGUCAGAAGUGAAAUCCCCGGGCUUAACCCGGGAAUGGCUUUUGAAACUCCAUGACUAGAGUAUUGGAGAGGUUGGCGGAAUUCCGAGUGUAGAGGUGAAAUUCGCAGAUAUUCGGAGGAACACCAAUGGCGUAGGCAGCCAACUGGACAAUUACUGACGCUCAUGCACGAAAGCGUGGGGAUCAAACAGG